rnacentral:pre_miRNA from 8 species
UGUUCACCUGGCUCAAGUUCUGUGAUACACUCAGACUUUGAAUCAGUGGUAGUCAGUGCAUGACAGAACUUUGGCCCGGACGGACC